UUUUCUAAACCGCUUCCUUCCAUUAAAAAUCAUUAAACCCUUAUAGCCCAAAUCCCAUCCUAACUCCUUCAAACUCUUUCCAUAAUUCAAACGAAAGAAAACAAUAAUUUUCUAGAUAUGGAGGUGAUAGGUCUUCGCAAAGGGGUGGAGAGUCUCAAGAAUUAAUUGUAUUUGCAAAGGAGUUUGGUACUGAUGAUGGCUUUUCUUAUAAAAAUGCUUCUUAUAAUCUUAUUUAGGU
rnacentral:lncRNA from 1 species